UUUUAUUAAUUAAUUAAUUAAUUAAUUUAUUUAUUUAUUUAUUUAUUUUUUGUGAAAGAAGGAGCAAGGGGAGGGGCAGAGGGACAGAGAGAAAAUCUCAAGUAGACUUCACACUGAGUGAAGAGCCAGCCUUAGGGCUUGAUCUCACAACCCUGAGAUCAUGACCAGAGCCAAAACCAAGUGUCAGACACUUAACCAACUAGGCCACUCAAGCACCCUGAGGCCUGGAAUUUUAGAAAACGCUUCUGACAAGAGUAUAUUUCAACCUGGUAGGAAUUACCCUUGCUUGAUAACCUUGACUGGUCAAUAACCAUGGAUGAGCCAUGGAUUGAUUUGUUUUUAAUAACGAGGUCUUAGCCCCUAUGAUAGUCAUUUCUAUCUAAUGUGGAGUUUGGAACAGCAUCCCAUUUUCUUCUGAUGCUCUGUGAACUGCCCUCCUCUACUUGCUAAAAAGUAUGCCAGUCCCAGCCUAGUGGUAACUAACUUGUAGCAUUAUUCAGCGUGAGACUAGCCCAUAAAAGGAUAAUGUAUUUGGAUAUUUUGAUGAUGCUUCACAGAGACUGGAUCUCCAAAGCCUGUGUUCCACUUGCCCCUAGGAUAAGGAAACUGGUGGAGGUACUCUGCAAGGAAAAGGAAAUAAUGUAUUUACUCGCCCCCCCCCCCCCCCCCCGAGUCUUUGAAGAGGCAGAAAGUCUGGUGGGGAAUUACAGCACUGUGUAAUCUGCUCUUUGCCUCUCUUUUAAAGAGGGCCUAGGACAUAGCCCAUGCCAGAUACAUACAGCAUCUGCUCUUCUUUCUUUGGCACCCUAUUCUCAGUGUCAGGAGGCUGGACCUCAUGGACCACAUCAGCUAGCUCCUCACAGGCUAAUAGCUGGAUUUAGCAAAUGAGGAAUCUUGGCAAGAGAAGGAGGGGGAAAAUGAAGUCAUGGCACAUUUCCUCCUGGCUCCCUCUACUUAAGAGCUUGCCUCAGACUGAUGGUAUCUCUUGAUGGAAGGUCACUUCUCUCCAAUACUCCUUUUGUACAUAACUAUUCUGUUUCAGCAAUUCCUCCCAUGCACCAUCCCUCAGGAAUAGAAGUAGUAACAGCCCACUCCUUUAGCCCCAGAGUCUUCUCUCAUGUUUUCCCCACUCUCUACACACAUUUUUGUGAAUAAUCCUUUUGAAAAUAGGUCCUCCUUGAGUUAUGAUAAUUUGUAUGUGUUAUCUGUUUCCUGUUGGAAUCCUAGUUGACAAAUACAGUCAAUAAUGAAUAGUUUAUUAAAUAUUUACUAUUCCAAGAGAUUUAUGGGUAUUGAAUCAUUAAAUCCACUUAUGAGGACAAAUCAGGAGAUACUAUGAUUAUCCCCAUUUUACAGCCGAGGAGAGAUUAAACCAUACGCACAAGGCACACAGCAAGAAAGCGGUGAGAUGUGAUUUGCACCAGAGUGUUCUGUCUCCGGAGCUUGGGCCCUGCGCAAAUACCCAUUCAAUGAAUGAAUGCAGCUAGAAAUGCAUGAGGGGUGCAGUUUUCCUGUUCCUUCAGAAGUACUGGCCACAUUUGAGAAGUCUAAUAGUCACAUGUGACUACUGACUGCCAUUUUGGACACCAGAGAAUUAGAACUAAGAUAGAGGUGAAGGAAACAGCAGAGAAGACUAAAAAGGAAUGGCUGGAGAGUCAGAGAAGAAAAACCAGAGAAGUUCAAUGGUGUGGAAGAGGGCAUGAAGUGCGAAGUUGCGCAAAGAGAAAGUUCCAUUCAUUUGGAAAGUUCCUGAGACAGCAAGGACAGUCUUUGUGUGUUCCACGAGAGCAGGUCCUCAACACCUGAAGCUGCUGCCUUUGCUGUCACUCAUUCCUUUGUGUACUGACUUCAACAAUCCUUAAAUACCCAGAACAAGAGAGUAGGAGAGAUGAAGCAGUCAACAAUGCUACAUUCCCAAACAUUGACAUUUUCUCAGAUCGUGACCACAAGGCCUGGACUAUGAAGCAGAGAUGAAUAUCCUUUGCCAGAGGGUCAAGCUCACAGUAAAUAGGAGGGCAGGAGCCUGAACAUCAUGAACACUUCUCCACAGAGAAUCCAUCCUGGAUCCCUGGAAUCUUGCCACUUGGAAGUCAUACCUACACACACGACCUUCAAAUCAUCUACUUACACUGCCUGGACUCCUCCUCAGGUUAAAUUAUUGAACUCACAAUACCUAAAAGUGACUUUCUGUGAAAAUGACCUUUACCAGGAAGCAUUAGUACUGUCAUCGGUAGAAAAAUGGCAGGUAUACAAAACUAUGUCAUCUGAAAGAACAAAUAAAGAGAAAAUCAGAUACUAAGGAUGCUGAUAAAGUUGAAGUGAAAAUUUAAUAUAUUAAACUGUGAUAGGUGAUCUCUAAGGAGUUUGAUUUCAAUUGCAGUAUUAUGUGCUUUUGUAAACAGCUUUUUAAAAGAGACAGAGUAGCACAUAAUGUUUAACACACUCAGACUACCAGUUAGUUGGUAUAAUCUUGGCAAAGAAAAAAGAAAAUCAGUAUAUCAAAAACUCCUUUUCUAAAAAUACAGGUACUCUGUCAGGAAGGAAAAAAUGAGAAAGUCUGGUGAAUGCACAUUGCCAGUAAAACAGGAUAACUGUCUUCAGAAGAGAAAAUAUAAUA